CCACGGCGGCGCGUCAAUUACGGACCUCGCGGCAGAGAGCAUCUCCGAGCGCUGGCCCUCACGUGACGUCGUCGUUUGUGAUCCUUGACAUGGAGGCCAUAUAUGGCUGGGAGCAUUGACACUGCAGUAAAGGUCCGCAAAGCCCAAGACAAAGACAGGCCGGCCUGUCCGUUGACGUCACGGGUUGGUCACGUCCAGAACGAACGGGUCGGGCUAAGUCAGCAGUUCCUGCCUGAAGCCGCACAGUAGAACCCUAUGAAACGUACCUGUGCCUGACUCUUCCCCCAGAGAUUCUUCUUGAAUGCAUGUGAGCGGAGGGCCGAACAGCACUGACUUUUUAAAACUUUUUAUUAACGUAUCAUACACACAAAAAGCUCACAUAGGUGCACAGCUCCACCGAACUUUGCAAACAGAGGACACUCAGCAUCUGCAUCGAAGGGAGGAUCUUAGCAGCCCUUCCCCACUUUUGCACCCCUCUUUGCCCCCGUCUCUACACUACCACCCACCUCCUCCUGCCAAGGAGGGGUGACCACUCCCCUGACCUCUAACAGUAAAGGUUGUUUUGAAUGUCCUCCGAAUGGCCUCAUCCCUGUGUCUUCCUGCCAUCUGGUGUGAGAUUCGUCCACAUGACGGGUGUCCCUUCCCACGGCCGUGCGGUAUCCUGAGCUGCCGGCUUCUCUGUUCCACUGGUGGCGGACUUCUGGGGAGUUUGGGACAAUGAUGAGCAGUAGAGCUCGAACAU